rnacentral:rRNA from 1 species
AGUGAACGCUGGCGGCAGGCCUAACACAUGCAAGUCGAACGAGUGGCGGACGGGUUAGGAAUACAUCGGCAUCUUCUCUGUCGUGGGGGUUAACGAAGGGAAACUUACGCUAAUUCCGCAUUCGUUUGACUCAGCCGAUGUCGGAGUAGCUAGUUGGCGGGGUAAAGGCCCACAAAGGUGACGAUCCGUAGCUGGUCUGAGAGGAUGAUCAGCAACACUGGAACGGAGACACGGUCCAGACUCCUACGGGAGGCAGCAGUGGGGAAUAUUGGACAAUGGGCGCAAGCCUGAUCCAGCCAUGCCGCGUGGGUGAAGAAGGCCUUCGGAUUGUAAAGCCCUUUUGUUGGGAAAGCGGUACCCAAAGAAUAAGCACCGGCUAACUUCGUGCCAGCAGCCGCGGUAAUAC